AGAACGAACGCUGGCGGCAUGCCUAACACAUGCAAGUCGAACGAGACCUUCGGGUCUAGUGGCGCACGGGUGCGUAACGCGUGGGAAUCUGCCCUUAGGUACGGAAUAGCCCGGGGGAAACCUGGAAUAAUACCGUAUAAUGACUUCGGUCCAAAGAUUUAUCGCCUAAGGAUGAGCCCGCGUAGGAUUAGCUUGUUGGUGAGGUAAAAGCUCACCAAGGCGACGAUCCUUAGCUGGUCUGAGAGGAUGAUCAGCCACACUGGGACUGAGACACGGCCCAGACUCCUACGGGAGGCAGCAGUGGGGAAUCUUGGACAAUGGGGGCAACCCUGAUCCAGCCAUGCCGCGUGAUCGAUGAAGGCCUUAGGGUUGUAAAGAUCUUUCAGCGGGGAAGAUAAUGACGGUACCCGCAGAAGAACGCCCGGCUAACUCCGUGCCAGCAGCCGC
rnacentral:rRNA from 1 species